AUUGAACGCUGGCGGCAGGCCUAACACAUGCAAGUCGAACGAGUGGCGGACGGGUGAGUAAUGUAUGGGAAACUGCCUGAUGGAGGGGGAUAACUACUGGAAACGGUAGCUAAUACCGCAUACCAUCAGAGGGGCCGAGAUGGGAUUAGCUAGUUGUUGGGGUAACGGCUCACAAAGGCGACGAUCCCUAGCUGGUCUGAGAGGAGGACCAGCCACACUGGAACUGAGACACGGUCCAGCCUCCUCCGGGAGGCAGCAGUGGGGAAUAUUGGACAAUGGGCGCAGGCCUGAUGCAGCCAUGCCGCGUGUAUGAAGAAGGCCUUCGGGUUGUAAAGUACUUUCAGCGGGGAGGCGUUACCCGCAGAAGAAGCACCGGCUAACUCCGUGCCAGCAGCCGCGGUAAUUC
rnacentral:rRNA from 1 species